rnacentral:tRNA from 1 species
GACAGCGUGGCCUAGUGGUGUGAGUGCUGGGCUAUGACUCUGGAGACCAGGGUUCAAUUCCCAGCUUGACC